CGAUGAAUGCUAGUUGUCCGGGGCGAUUGAGUUCUGGGUGACACAGCGAAAGCGUUAAGCAUUCCACCUGGGGAGUACGCCGGCAACGGUGAAACUCAAAGGAAUUGACGGGGGCCCGCACAAGCGGAGGAACAUGUGGUUUAAUUCGAUGAUACGCGAGGAACCUUACCCGGGCUCAAACGCAGGAGGGAUGUUUUUGAAAGGAGGCAGCCAGCAAUGGUCUCCUGCGAGGUGCUGCAUGGUUGUCGUCAGCUCGUGCCGUGAGGUGUCGGCUUAAGUGCCAUAACGAGCGCAACCCCUACCUACAGUUGCCAUCGCGUGAUGGCGGGCACUCUGUGGGGACUGCCUGCGCAAGCAGUGAGGAAGGCGGGGAUGACGUCAAAUCAGCACGGCCCUUACGUCCGGGGCGACACACGUGUUACAAUGGCAGGUACAGCGGGAAGCCACCCGGCGACGGGGCGCGGAACCCGAAAACCUGUCUCAGUUCGGAUUGGAGUCUGCAACCCGACUCCAUGAAGCUGGAUUCGCUAGUAAUCGCGCAUCAGCCACGGCGCGGUGAAUACGUUCCCGGGCCUUGUACACACCGCCCGUCAAGCCAUGGAAGCCGGGGGUGCCUGAAGUGCGUGACCGCAAGGAGCGCCCUAGGGUAAAACCGGUGACUGGGGCUAAGUCGUAACAAGGUAGCCGUACCGGAAGGUGCGGUUGGAUCACCUCC
rnacentral:rRNA from 1 species